UACGUAGGGUGCGAGCGUUAAUCGGAAUUACUGGGCGUAAAGCGUGCGCAGGCGGUUUUGUAAUCCAGAUGUGAAAUCCCCGGGCUUAACCUGGGAAUGGCAUUUGGGACUGCAAGGCUUGAGUGCGGCAGAGGAGACUGGAAUUCCUGGUGUAGCAGUGAAAUGCGUAGAUAUCAGGAGGAACACCGAUGGCGAAGGCAGGUCUCUGGGCUGACACUGACGCUCAUGCACGAAAGCGUGGGGAGCAAACAGG
rnacentral:rRNA from 1 species